GUGUGGAGAUACUAGUAUGUUAUACAAAUGAGAUAUAGGAGUAUAUCAUCACUGAACAAGUGACUCACUUGCUGAGCACUCUACUGUCAAGAGCAACUCAUGAAAUGUAUGGGCAUAAGAAUCCCUCAGACCUAAGAUCACUAUAGUGACUUGCAAGCAACUCACUGUGCUUAGGUACCGGACUAUCUGAUUUCUAAUGCAC
rnacentral:lncRNA from 1 species